rnacentral:rRNA from 1 species
UACAGAGGGUGCAAGCGUUGUUCGGAAUCACUGGGCGUAAAGAGCGCGCAGGCGGCUGGUCAAGUCCGAUGUGAAAUCUCCCGGCUCAACUGGGAAACUGCAUCGGAAACUGAUCGGCUUGAAGAUGGGAGAGGGUAGUGGAAUUCCCGGUGUAGUGGUGAAAUGCGUAGAUAUCGGGAGGAACACCGGUGGCGAAGGCGGGUCUCUGGGCCGAUACUGACGCUGAGGAGCGAAAGCGUGGGGAGCGAACAGG